UUCCAUCAACGUUCUGAACUUUGGACGUGGGCGACAGCAGUGCCACAUCAAGCCUUCUCAGCCAAGGAAGAACUUGUCUGAACCUCUUCCUGGGAUUGGGAAAAGGAUCCGGGAAAGACAGCGUGCUGCCAGGUAAGAGAUUAGGACACGUUUCAGCGUGGAGUUGUGCCGUCUGAGAGCUUUUGUUUGAGCUGCCCGUUUGAAAUGGAUAUUUUCUGAGCGCGAGCAUGUCAG
rnacentral:lncRNA from 1 species